CCCUUAGAUGUUCUGGGCUGCACGCGCGCUACACUGAUGCAUUCAACGAGCACCCGCUGGGCCGAGAGGUCCGGCUAAUCUUUGAACGUGCAUCGUGCUGGGGAUAGAUGAUUGCAAUUAUUCAUCUUCAACGAGGAAUUCCUAGUAAACGCAAGUCAUCAGCUUGCAUUGAUUACGUCCCUGCCCUUUGUACACACCGCCCGUCGCACCUACCGAUUGAAUGGUCCGGUGAAAUUCUCGGACGCGGACUUGCGAUGUUAAUUCGGAGCUUGACUGUGAAAGUUAAUUAAACCUUACCAUUUAGAGGAAGGUGAANUCGUAACA
rnacentral:rRNA from 1 species